rnacentral:piRNA from 1 species
UGCUUGUAGCUUCUGCUCCACUUCGGAGGGC